rnacentral:rRNA from 1 species
GAUGAACGCUGGCGGCGUGCCUAAUACAUGCAAGUCGAACGCUUCAUUUCGGUGAAGAGUGGCGAACGGGUGAGUAAUACAUAAGUAACCUGGCAUCUACAGGGGGAUAACUGAUGGAAACGUCGGCUAAGACCGCAUAGGUGUAGAGAUCGCAUGAACUCUAUAUGAAAAGUGCUACGGGACUGGUAGAUGAUGGACUUAUGGCGCAUUAGCUGGUUGGUAGGGUAACGGCCUACCAAGGCGACGAGGCGUAGCCGACCUGAGAGGGUGACCGGCCAGCCGGGGAGUGAGACACGGCCCAGACGCCUACGGGAGGCAGCAGUAGUGAAUUUUCGGCAAUGGGGGAAACCCUGACCGAGCAACGCCGCGUGAAGGAAGAAGUAAUUCGUUAUGUAAACUUCUGUCAUAGAGGAAGAACGGUGGAUAUAGGGAAUGAUAUCCAAGUGACGGUACUCUAUAAGAAAGCCACGGCUAACUACGUGCCAGCCGCCGCCGUAA